rnacentral:pre_miRNA from 1 species
CGAUGACGAUGAUGAUGAUGAUGGUGGUGAGCAUGAGCAUGGUGAUGAUGUUUAUGAUUAUUAUUAUUAUUAUUAUUAUCAUCAUCAUCAUCAUCAUCAUCA